rnacentral:rRNA from 1 species
AUGUCGUCCCCGCCGCCCAUGCCUGGAAGGGAGGAGAUCGCCGGCGCCAAGGCGCCGCGUCCGCUCGCUGCGGACACCACCGGCGCAGGGGGAGACGCCGGAGGUGUCGCCGAGGCAAGCCAAGCAGCGUCCGGCGGUGAGGCCAAAGCGACGCCGUCGCCAGCGACUAUCUGCCCUUGCUGCACGGAGCCGUGGACCAGCGACGGCCCUCAUCGCAUGUGUUGCAUUCGUUGUGGGCAUGUGUAUGGCAGAUCUUGUAUGGAGACGUUGCUGCGUCGUUCUGGCCAGAAUAGUGCCAAGUGCCCGCAGUGUGGCAAACAAUUCGAGGAGAAGCUUAUUAUCAACCUCUAUGCACCAGAAAACAUGUUGGAGGGUUGCUGCAGUGCUGAGGAAAUUAAAGCGUUUUACGAACAUAUAUUUGUUGCAGUAAGGGCGACAUGUAUUGAGAUUCAACAAUGGUUUAGAGAACGGGUUGCUCAGAUGGAGAUAAUAGUGAACAAAAAGGUGACAAUGGCUAAGGCCAACGUGGUAUUAAUGAAGGAGCGAUUGAAGAAGAUGGCUGAACAAGAAAAGAUGGUGCCAAAGGAUAUGAUAGUGUUCAUGGAGCAGAAUUGCCCUCAGCUGAUGAUUUGUGUGUCGUGCGUGUUCUCAUCCUUACCAGCAUCUGGUAUGGAAGGCGGGGACGAGAUUGCCAAUGUUGAAAUUAUUGUCAGAGAGGGGCCAUGUCCCCAUGCUGUGGAAGCUAGUGAACGGGGUGGCAGAGGCAAUGAGUUAAAUCAUACUGUAUCUGGUUUGGGCGAGGAGAUCGACGGCUCAUACAGAGACAGUAGCUACUUUGGCGAAUAUAAUGCGAACAUCUCCAACAAAGAAGCAAAUAGGAUGCUGGUAAGUGCGAACAUGGAUGCUUCAGCUGAAGGGGGGAAAUGCAUUGAUGUCAAGGCACCAGCACGGCCAACCUGCUCUAUCUGCAUGGAGCCGUGGACCUCCACGGACGAGCAUCACAUCUGGAGGCUUUGGGUUCACGAUGCUGCGGAUGUGGCACCAUAUGAUCAUAUAGUGCAGGAGGGCAGUCUUUGUUGGACCUUUCAUGAUCAUCUCCCAUCUCCAACUUGCAGUUGUAUUCCUUGCGGGCAUGUCUACGGCAGGUCGUGCUUAAUAAGGUGGCUCAGGGAUCAGCUUUCAAGGAAUGAGAAUCUGAAGUGCCCUCAAUGUGCGGAAGAAUUCAAAGGCAAUCUUAUCGACCUCCAUGCACCAUUGUGUCAGAAGAUGUUUUCUUAUGCUGGAUGUGGAUUAUACAUAUCACAAGUUCUCAUCUCAAUUAACCUGCCGGUGCAGGAAGUACAUGAGUAUUAUGAAGCUAAGUUGGCUGAGUUUGAGGCAUCGAGGGAAGAAUGUAUGCUAUUUGCAAAAUAUCAUUAUCAGUAUGACCUGCUAAGUGCACAAGCGAAGUUUCGGGAUGAGCUGCGUGCACUAAUUAGACCUGAAAUUGCUGAGAUUGAAAGAGUGAUGAUGGAACACGUGGCAAAGGCUAACGGUAGCUUGGUGUUGAUGAAGGAGCAGAUGAAGAAGAUGGCUGAAGAAGACAUGGCGACAACGGAGCAUCUCAUUGGAUACUUGGAACAGACUUGCCAUUGCCCUUGUCUUUUUCCUACCCUACCCAAGCUACCCAUAUGA